UACGUAGGGGGCGAGCGUUGUCCGAAGUUACUGGGCGUAAAGCGCGCGUAGGCGGCUAACUAAGUCUGAGGUGAAAGGUUCAGCGCUCAACGUGAACAGUGCCUUGGAGACUGGUUGGCUUGAGUGUGGCAGAGGAGCAUGGAAUUCCUGGUGUAGCGGUGAAAUGCGUAGAUAUCAGGAGGAACACCUGUGGUGUAGACAGCUUACUGGACCAUUACUGACACUGAGACACGAAAGCGUGGGUAGCAAACAGG
rnacentral:rRNA from 1 species